rnacentral:rRNA from 1 species
AUUGAACGCUGGCGGCAGGCCUAACACAUGCAAGUCGAACGGUAACAGGAAGAAGCUUGCUUCUUUGCUGACGAGUGGCGGACGGGUGAGUAAUGUCUGGGAAACUGCCUGAUGGAGGGGGAUAACUACUGGAAACGGUAGCUAAUACCGCAUAACGUCGCAAGACCAAAGAGGGGGACCUUCGGGCCUCUUGCCAUCGGAUGUGCCCAGAUGGGAUUAGCAAGUAGGUGGGGUAACGGCUCACCUAGGCGACGAUCCCUAGCUGGUCUGAGAGGAUGACCAGCCACACUGGAACUGAGACACGGUCCAGACUCCUACGGGAGGCAGCAGUGGGGAAUAUUGCACAAAGGGCGCAAGCCUGAUGCAGCCAUGCCGCGUGUAUGAAGAAGGCCUUCGGGUUGUAAAGUACUUUCAGCGGGGAGGAAGGGAGUAAAGUUAAUACCUUUGCUCAUUGACGUUACCCGCAGAAGAAGCACCGGCUAACUCCGUG